rnacentral:rRNA from 1 species
AGAGUUUGAUCAUGGCUCAGGAUGAACGCUAGCGGCAGGCUUAACACAUGCAAGUCGAGGGGUAUGGUAGCAAUACCAGAGACCGGCGCACGGGUGAGUAACGCGUAUGCAACCUUUCCUUAACUGGGGGAUAGCCCAGGGAAACUUGGAUUAAUACCCCAUAGUUCUGUUUGGCCGCAUGGCCAGGCAAAUAAAGUUCCGGCGGUUAAGGAUGGGCAUGCGUGCCAUUAGGUAGUUGGUAGGGUAACGGCCUACCAAGCCUACGAUGGCUACGGGGUCUAAAAGGAUGGUCCCGCACACUGGUACUGAGACACGGACCAGACUCCUACGGGAGGCAGCAGUGAGGAAUAUUGGUCAAUGGGCGCAAGCCUGAACCAGCCAUGCCGCGUGAAGGAAGACUGCCCUAUGGGUUGUAAACUUCUUUUAUACGGGAAUAAUAAGGGCCACGUGUGGCCCGAUGAAGGUACUGUAUGAAUAAGCAUCGGCUAACUCCGUGCCAGCAGCCGCGGUAAUACGGAGGAUGCAGGCGUUAUCCGGAUUUAUUAGGUUUAAAGGGUGCGUAGGCGGCCAAGUAAGUCAGUGGUGAAAGUUUGCGGCUUAACCGUAAAAUUGCCAUUGAUACUGUUUGGCUUGGAUUUAGUAGAAGUUGGCGGAAUGUGCAGUGUAGCGGAAAUGCUUAGAUAUUGCACAGAACACCGAUUGCGAAGGCAGCUGACUAUGCUAACAUCGACGCUGAGGCACGAAAGCGUGGGGAUCGAACAGGAUUAGAUACCCUAGUAGUCC